ACUGACGUCCUUUUCUUUUGGACGCUGUGCUCAUGCCCACAGGUAGACUGAGAGACGACCCAGAUUCCUAGGAGCCGGAUCAGCUUAAAUAGGAGCACUUCCAUAUUUCGGAGAUGGUAGAGCUUUGCUCCACUAGAUUGGCCAAACCUAUGCUCAAGGUUGGUCCAUAAUUCUUUAGUAGUUUUUGAGUAGAUGACUGAGUCUGCAAUCUCCUUUGAUAGUGAAUUUAGAAGCCAUGAAGUCACCAUGUCAUUGCACCUAUUCCAUAGUUGAUAAUCUUUGGAAGUUGGAUCUGCAGAAGCAUGAAGACCAGUAAUGAAACCAAUCUUAUUUUUGGCUAAGAGAGUAAUGAGAAUAGUUCUCUUCCAGCCUUGAUAUCCUCUUCCAUCGAAAGGACUGUUCACCAAGGCCAUGCCAGGAGAAUCAGAUGAAUGCAAAAAGUAUGCAUGAUUUGAGUCUAUGGUGUUAACAGAUCCAGUAUUCUCAGUUGUUUCCAGAGCUGGGGUGUUUUCUGUAGGACCUCCCAUGAUAGAUUAAAAGAUGAAGAAGAUAUAAAUUUUGUGAGGAAUUUUAGUGCUUGUGCUCUGAUACCAUGUAAUAAAUUGAAGAUGAAUAUUAUGGAAAAUUUUCUGUGUA